CGAGAGGAUAAUGAUUAAGGAUGACAGCUACACUAAAAUAAAGAUGCAAAUUGACUGUACCUUCGCAACACCCACCAGCCAAUCAGGAAUUCUACAUAUAAGUGAGAUCAUAUGGCAUUUGUCUUUCUCUAACUGGCUGAUUUCACUUAGCAUAAUACUCUCCAGGUCCAUCCAUGCUGUCGCAAAAGAUGCGGAAACCUGCUUUAAGAAACAAAUUGCCCAGCUGAAGCCGGUUUGGCUCAGUGGAUAGAGCGUUGAACUGCGGACUGAAGGGUCCCAGGUUCGAUUCCGGUCAGGGGCAUGUACCUUGGUUGCGGGCACAUCCCCGGAGGGGGGUGUGCAGGAGGCAGCUGAUUGAUGUUUCUCUCUCAUCGAUGUUUCUAACUCUCUGUCUCUCUCCCUU